UCUCGCGCAGAGGAGGCAAAGUGCCCGCACUGGCGAGGAAGGCAGCGCUUUGCCAGGUUGGCCGCCUCGGUAAAGGCGUGGUCGUCGUCAUCUGGGGCUCUCGGCCGGGGAAGGACUUCCUCCGCGCUGGUAUGAACAACCCGGGCACGGGGUGAAUGUGUAACUAGGAGGCCGUGCGUGGCCCCAGGUGUCCAGCUGGAGGCUAGCCCUGCGUGCGGGGAGGCAGGCUGACCUGCCGGGCCGUCGCCGCUGGGGCCGAGCUGGCGCCUGGGGGAAACUGACAGAACCGGUUCCAAAAAGUCCCCAGAAGACUGUAGACGUCGGCCCCUCUGCACCUCACUUUAGGGAAUGUGGCCUUUGGGCAGGAAGCAUCUCUGGUCUCUCAGCCGCGGACGCAUUUCUGCGGGUUAGGUUUGAUUUACACAACUGAGUAUAGCAGACUGACUCUGAUUAGAGCUAUUUCAGAAGAAAGACAGUGAUCCCAUUCUUUACAUCUAAGCCUUCUUCCUGUCAGGAACUUCUGUGGAUAAUAAGAAAGGAAUCACUGAGUUAUCGAAACUGGACCGCAUGAUUUGUGAAACCUGGACAGGGUGAUAGAAACCGAAAUUGACUGUUUCAAAGCUGAGAGCAGUUUUCUUUACUGUGGAAGACGAAUGCUUAGAUAGGCCUGUGGAAGAGACUAUUUGUUUUGGAAAAACCACCCAGGGAAGCCAUUUUUGUUUUAGUUUGCAAAUAUAAAGCCAAAUAUCACAACUUGAAAGGAACGUACUCAAGAACUGAGGUUGGAAGGAGCCAAACUUCCUUGAAUAAUAAUGUGAAAGAUGAUUUGCAUCUCAGCAACGUUGGAUCUUUGAGAGAAAAUACAUUUCUCCUAAAUAUUCUUGGAGACUGCUUUGAUUCUGAGGACAGAGCAAGUGACGUGGCCACACCUAAUGUCAGAGCGCACAAUGUCGUUGCUGCUGCAGAAGGAGAGAAGGGGCUACGUGGAGAGAUGUGACAUCCUCCCCGCCCAGGAGGUCUCGCCUGGGCAGGCAGCUCAUCCUGCUUUUAUUUUAAACAACUUUGUUGAAGUAUAACUGACAUUUAAAGCACACGCUUUGAUAAUUUCUGGCAUCUGUGUACACCUGUGGUCUCUACUGCUGGGAUGUCCCUGCUUUCAGGCCUUUACGGUGGACAGAAGCAGCUUUUUUUUUUUUAUGAUUCUAUUUUACCUGCCAUUUGCUUAUUAGGAAUAGCUGCUUGUGAGGUUAUCUGAGUGGUUACUUUAGGGUUUAUAAUAGGGUCUUCGUCUCAUCACUGUCCACCUUCCAUUCCUAGCAGCUCACCACCAUUCUCCCCACACAUGGUGCUGUGGAUCUUCUACCCCCAUAUUUCUCAUACGCCCCAUAUAUGCUGUUGUUAUUUUUGCUUUAAGCAGGCAAUUUCCUCUGUUUUAAAAAUUGUGGUAAAAUACACAUAAAACUGACCAUCUCAACCGUCUGACUUGAAGAGUACAGCUCAGAGGCAUUCAGUCCCUUGGUAUCCGUGGGGGAUUGGUCCCAGCAGCCCCUGCAGAUACCAAAAUCCAUGGAUGCUCAAGUCCCUUAGAUAGGAUGGUAUGGUGCAGUUGGCCCUCUGUUUCCGUGGUUCCACAGCCACAGAUUCAACCAACCACAGAGAGAAGUUUCAAUCCAUGGUUGGCUGAAUCUGUGGAUGCGAAACCCAUGAAUAUGGAGAGUCCACUGUGUAUUUAUGGAAAAAAAUCCAUGUAUAACUAGACCCACGCAUUUGAAACCUGCACUGUUCAAGGGUCACCUGUAUUCACAUUGUACAACCAUCGCCACCCUCCAUCCGCAGAACUCUUUCCAUCUUGUGGAAAUGUAACUCUGCACCCUCCACUCCCAUCCCCCUCACCCCCUGGCCCCUACAACCACCAUUCCAUCUCUCGGUCUGUAAAUUUGACUGCUCUGGGGACCUCAUGUGAAUGCAGUCACACGGUUGUCCUGGGUGACUGCCUUAUCUCACGGAGCAUCAUGUCCUUCAGAUUCAGCCGUGUUGUAGCACCUGUCAGAAUCUCCUUCCUGUAUAUUCCACUGUAUGUUUUUAGCACGUUUUCCAGCAAAUUCCCUUUUCAAUAGGUUUAAACAAUAAGACCCAGCAUCUCAUAUUGAGCCCAUAGGUAGCGUAUCUAGGACUCCUCAGCCCUUGGUGUGAAUGCACAUCUCCACUUGCUGUCAUUUCCCUUUUGCCUGAAGGACUUCCCUCAGCGGAUCUUGAAGCACAGGUCUGUGGGUGAUGAAUUCUUUCAGCUUUUGUAUAUCUAAAAACAUCUUUUUUUAUCUCUGUUUUUGAAUGAUACUUUUGCUAAGUUUCGAUUUCUAAAUUAAUGUGGUUUUUUUACCCCUAAUAAAAUG